GACAGAGGGGGCAAGCGUUGCUCGGAAUUACUGGGCGUAAAGCGCGCGCAGGCGGCUAUCCAAGUCAGUGGUGAAAGCCCGGAGCUCAACUCCGGAACUGCCAUUGAAACUGUUUAGCUUGAGGAUGAGAGAGGUGAGUGGAAUUCCCAGUGUAGAGGUGAAAUUCGUAGAUAUUGGGAAGAACACCGGUGGCGAAGGCGGCUCACUGGCUCAUUACUGACGCUCAGGCGCGAUAGCGUGGGGAUCAAACAGG
rnacentral:rRNA from 1 species